GAUGAACGCUAGCGGCAGGCCUAACACAUGCAAGUCGAGGGGUAGCAGGAUUAAGCUUGCUUAAUUGCUGACGACCGGCGCACGGGUGCGUAACGCGUAUGCAACCUACCUUAUACUGGGGUAUAGCCCGGAGAAAUUCGGAUUAAUCCCCCAUAGUACUAAUGAAUCGCAUGGUUUAUUAGUUAAAGCAUUGCGGUAUAAGAUGGGCAUGCGUCCUAUUAGCUAGAUGGUGAGGUAACGGCUCACCAUGGCUACGAUGGGUAGGGGGCCUGAGAGGGGGGGCCCCCACACUGGUACUGAGACACGGACCAGACUCCUACGGGAGGCAGCAGUGAGGAAUAUUGGUCAAUGGGCGCAAGCCUGAACCAGCCAUGCCGCGUGCAGGAAGAAUGCCCUAUGGGUUGUAAACUGCUUUUAUUUGGGAAUAAACCUCUUUACGUGUAGAGAGCUGAAGGUACCAAAUGAAUAAGCACCGGCUAACUCCGUGCCAGCAGCCGCAGUAA
rnacentral:rRNA from 1 species